rnacentral:rRNA from 1 species
UACGUAGGGUGCAAGCGUUGUCCGGAAUUAUUGGGCGUAAAGAGCUCGUAGGCGGUUUGUCGCGUCGAAUGUAAAAACCCGGGGCUCAACCCCGGGCCUGCAUUCGAUACGGGCAGACUAGAGUUCGGUAGGGGAGUCUGGAAUUCCUGGUGUAGCGGUGAAAUGCGCAGAUAUCAGGAGGAACACCGGUGGCGAAGGCGGGACUCUGGGCCGAUACUGACGCUGAGGAGCGAAAGCGUGGGGAGCGAACAGG